CUGCCUCUGAAUUUGUUCCUUCCUAAAUUUAAAACACCAAGAGUCUUACUUCUCUCCAUUAAACAGGGUGGUAUUGUGCCACUCAAACUGUUGUUGGACAGAUCAAGAACUUGUAGAUAACUAGCAUUGCAUAUUGAUUCAGGAAUAACUCCUACGAUGCCAUUGUUUGAAAGAGAAAAGAAAAUGGUGAAGGAGAGAGACUUACCAAUGUUAGGUGGUAUGGAAGAAAAGUUAUUGUUUGAGCAAUCCACAUAGGUAACAGAUGGCGGAGGAAGUGGAACAUUCCCUUGGAGCACGUUAUUGUGCAGGUCCAAUACAGCAAGACUAGUAGGGAGAGAAAGAGGUUCUGGUAGACUCAUCAGCAGAUUCUGUGAAAGAUUCAGAUAGAGGAGAGUGUCAAAACCAACUUCUCCAAUCCAUCGAGGUACUUUUCCAUUAAUUUGGUUAUCUGACAGGUCUAAAUAGACUAGUUUUGACUGAUUUCUUAGAUAAGGAAAUACUUUUAGAUUGCAAGAAGCCAGUUUUAUUGUGGUCAUCUGCGGAAGGGAAUACAAUGUGAAAUUUGCAAUCACUGUCAACUUGUUGUGUGAAAGAUUAAGCGUGGCAAGUUUAUGAAGCUUCUGAAUCCAACCUAGCUUUAUAGUGCCACUGAACUUGUUGGAGGAAAGUAAGAGGACGUUGAGUCUGCUGAUAUUAAAUACCCAACGGGGAAUAUGCCCUUCUAGUUUGUUACUACUCAAAUCCAGGGUAUCCAAAGAAGAAGAAGAUGCGCCUGAGAUGUUAGGAAAUUGACCUGUAAAUUGGUUGAAAGAAAGCUGAAUCUUCUGCAGUGAUGGGAUUGCGAACAAAGAUGACGGAAUGUCCCCAUUAAGUGAAUUAUACCUCAAGUCGACAUAGGUAAGAUUCAGAAGGCCUGCCCAUUGAGUGGAUGAUAUCUCACCAGACAAUUGAUUGUAAGAAAAAUCUAUAUACAUGAGUUUCUUGGACCUGCCCAAUGAUGGGAUUGGACCACUGAAUAUGUUGGAUGAGAAGUCUAAAUGGACAAGUUCAGUGAGAUUCGCUAUUGAAGUAGGAAUCAAUCCACUGAAGUUGCAAGCUUCAAGCCCUAUUUUUGACAGAUUCUUAAGUGUACCGAUGGAAUCUGGUAGUGCCCCUGAAAAAUUUGUGUAGCUGAG
rnacentral:misc_RNA from 1 species